UACGUAGGGCGCAAGCGUUAUCCGGAAUUAUUGGGCGUAAAGAGCUCGUAGGCGGUGUGUCGCGUCGGCCGUGAAAACCUGCAGCUUAACUGUGGGCUUGCGGUCGAUACGGGCAUCACUGGAGUUCGGCAGGGGAGACUGGAAUUCCUGGUGUAGCGGUGAAAUGCGCAGAUAUCAGGAGGAACACCGGUGGCGAAGGCGGGUCUCUGGGCCGAUACUGACGCUGAGGAGCGAAAGCGUGGGGAGUGAACAGG
rnacentral:rRNA from 1 species